rnacentral:pre_miRNA from 1 species
CUUGUCUUUCUUGAGCAGUCAUAAGGUAGCCUUUGUGGAAAGCCCCAUUCGAUUCGUUCGUCUCAAUCAGCAUCAGCAGUAUGACGAUCUCUCGAUUCAGAGCAACAAAGUUCCUUGCAGGAAAACGAGAGAAAAAGAAGAAGUUGAAGUUGAAGAAGAAGCUUCAAAGUUCUUGUGGCAUUCUACAUGGACUGCCUUAUGACUGCUCAGCAGCAAGAUUC